GUUGAACGGCGAUGUCGAGGUUCCUCAUCCCAGGCAUGGCGAUGGGGCUAAGACGGGAAGCCGGUGGUGCUCUUCGGGGCAGAGUCCGGCGCUGCCCCCGCAACUGUAAGCGGCGAGCGGCGGUUCCAUUUUGUGUCACUGGGUUCCCGCAAGGAGCCUGGGAAGGCCGGAGCCGCCGCAUUGACCCGUAAGCCAGGAGACCUGCCUAUCGACGGUAUAACGUU
rnacentral:ncRNA from 17 species